CUCGGACCGCGCGGACUCUUGAAGGUCAGCACUUUGAGUUAUGGGUGUGAUACAGGAAGGGAAAACUCCUCCUUUCCUUCCCUUAGGUGUAUCUUCCUAGAAAUUGACAGAAAAAUGGGAAUCUGGCACAUUCGUGUAUCUGAUACACUUUUUGAAAGCAAAGAAGUGUCACCGAAUGAGCAGGUGGCUCAGAGAGCACGAGUUUCUCCGGUUUUGCAGAUAAGGAAGCGGGUUUGGUCCUAAUGGAACCGGCCCAGUCCCCCCGCACUCCCUUGCUUACCCGCCUCGCUCCCGCCCCUCCCCCCCUCGUUCUUUGCCCUUGCCUCACUCACUCCAGCCGUUGCACUAUUUUUAUCUGGUGGCUUAGGACUUGAAACAAUGCAUUAAAAACGGCAGAGCUGGGAGAGCUAACCCCACUUUCGCCAGCAAGUGAGGGUGUGUCUUUAGCGAGUUGCUUCAUCUCUUGGGAAGCGGGGAGUGCAACAGGGGCUAACCGCAGGUGCACCCCGAGGCAGCGGGACUUGUGUGUUAUGUGCGUGGAAGGCAGGUCUGCUCCACCGCUGUCCUUUGCUGAGCCUUGAUAAAGUGCGAGCUCUACUCAAAGCCCAAGCUCGGUUCCUACGCCCCACUGCUGUCAAAGCUGAGUCCAAAAACCUGCACGUUCUCACGCCCCCCUAUCCCCCCCCCCAGACCUUGCCUGCCCUCAAUCAAAGGGAGUGAUUGAUACUACUUGCACGUGGUGGUUAAGACCACAGUUUCCACUACCAACAGAGAUGGUUUUCAAAGUCUGGUGGUGGAAUUGAAGCCUUCAAAAGAGGGACUAAUCAGAAGCCCGAUAUGUAAAGCAGUGGAGGCUGGAAUGCAUCGAGUGGCCUGGCUCCGCAGGGGACAGUUUGAAAAUCUCUGGCCUGUAGGAUAAAGGUUCCCUCGUGAGACCACAGUUAAAUGUUGGCCAGGGCUGCAGUCACCACUGCUGCUGGAGGAUUCCCUGCUGAGAUGGCUUAGUCACCUGACUGGCCUGUCAUUCAUUGGAUUCUCUGGCCUCUGAUCCAAGUCUUGAACCCACAUGCAACGGGAUGGCAAGAAGUCUGAUUUGAGCACAUGUUCCUCACCUCCUAAGAGCUUGGGUGAAGUUUCUCUGCCUAAGAGCCUACUGCAUCCCAGAGAAUAGAGCUGCCCCCUCAAGUCCCUGGGCACCGACUUCCCAGCCUGACCGCUGUUCAGCCCAGCUCUUGUGAUGCAGCGCAGAGGGCGACACGAUUCUCAGGAGCCAGAGCCUGGAACAGCUGCCAGGCAAGGCCUCCUUUCAUUGGCUGUUCCCCUCCCGUGGAUAUGAGGGGCUUCUCCGAGCUUGUAGACACUGGCGGCGUCCUUGUGAUCAUCAUCUCGAACAAAGGAGCAACAAGUCCGGAGCAGAGUUGCUGGGAUGAGAUCAGAGCAUGACAUUGCUUGUACCUGUUGAUCAAAAUCACAGGGUCAGCACAGCAUCUGCUCAGUCCUCUCGAGGCCCAGUUCGCUUACCAGAAGAGGUACACCUGAAAAGCUUCAUUGAAUUACUGAGCAUGAGGUAUGAAUUCAGGUCAUGGGGCCUAUGCAAUUCGGGGGAACCCUUUAAGGGAAAGACUACAAAAUGACCAUGGGAACACAAGGCCAAGUUUCUUCCUCCCGCCUUGGAAUAAUCCCAGACAAGGGAGGGUUUCUGAAGUUUAUGCUCCACUCACUUCAUUGAAAACCCAUCUCUGCUUCAAAUAUGGUUGGCUCCAUGAAAUAAACUAGAAACUCAAAUUAACAGUGGCAUAAACAGGAUAGGAAUGUAUUUCUCUCUCACGUAAUAGUCCAGAGAUAGACACUUGGCUGCAUCGUGCAAGGUUCCUUCUAUAUAUCUUGUUACUCUGUCAUUCCUAGCAUGUUGCCCUUGGCACCAAGUUCCUUGUCCAGGCAGCUGGAUUGAGGAAGGGCUGGAAGAAGGGGCUUGCUCUGGACUGAGGAACAUGCUCUGCAAAGAACAUUUAGAGCUGCUUCUUCCAUCGCAUUGGCCAGAAUUUAGUUAGAUGGCCUCCUUUAGCUGCUGGGCAACUCGAGAAAGGAAGGCUGUAUUCUAGGUGGUCAGGUACCUCAGCUCAAUGUCAAGGCUUUUAUUAUUGUAGAAGAGGAAGAUCAG